rnacentral:lncRNA from 1 species
AUACACAGGAGACAGGGAGCCGAUCCCCAACAUAGUUCCGCUGCACAGUUUUUAUUCCAUCAGUGUGAAGUUAGUCAGGUCCUGACCACUCUCAUCCUCGAGCAUAUCAUCACACAGCUGCCCCUGCAACUGCUUCAGUAAAGCAGACUAAGAUCUACAUGGAGCCUCAUCCUGUCUUCAGAUACUCCCCUUUGCAGUUUGUACAGAUUAAACCAUGUCUUGUGAUUCUGGAGAAGAUGAAACUCCCAGUGAACUUGUAAUGGACAGCCCUGAAGACACAUGCAGUAACCACUGAGUCUCAUCCAAGAGAGCAGGGAAGUUCCUGGAAUGUAGGCCAGUCAUUUCAAUCUAACAAAAAACAGGACAGAUGCCACGUCGCUGGUUUACUGCUGUGCAGCUCCUCCAGCUUAUACAAACUGAACAUCAUCACAGGAAGGAACAGACUUCAUAAUAAUACGAAGUUCUAUGCCAUUUAAUUCAAACCACUUUACAAAUACCAUUUAAAAAAUAAAACCUGAGCGACAAAAGCAAAUUAUAGACAGGACUGCCUCACUUCUAGAGAAAUGCAGCUGACAUUACACCACAAUCCAAAGCCAAGAAAAGGACUGGCUAUCAAGCCAGCUUGGAACUACAUUCGACAGCUGAAGUUUAAUAUUUGCAGUUACGAGAACUAUUUCUGAAAAUAUUUCAGGUAUUUUAUAUCAUUUGUUGUAAAUCAUUGAUAUUCUUCUGACCAUAUACACAGAAAAAUCUGCAGUCUCUGAAGAAAGGAAAGCCUCUGAACUUUACAAACGUGGAGACAGAUGAACAAAUCUUUGCAACUACCAUUUCCAUGAGUGUGACGUCCAGUAUGUUGUCAUACACAGCUUAACUUGCUAACUCAAGAAAAGGGAAGCUUUCAGUUGUAAAAACACAAACUAAAAGUCAGAACAGACAUACCUCCGAUUAUUGAAUUAUUUGGUAAACAGUGGGUUGGGUGACAUUUGCCAACUGAAGAGCAACUGGCAUAAAACAGUACUCACAAUUUAAGAGAUUAUGUUUAAGAAACCAGGAGGGUCUUCUGUCACUAUCUACAUCCUGACCAGGCAAUGGUGUGAGCAGACAGGCAGAAAUCAGUUUAUUCACGGACAGCUGUUCUUUAUCAGCUUCAUCUGAAUGCUCACAUAAACAACAUGUAGAAUUAUGAUAGACAUACACAAAGACAAUACCCCAAUAUUUCACUUACAAACUAAAGUUUUGCUGGUUUGAAAUAUAUUAGCAAUAGGUAUAUAUAUUUUAAUACUAACAGUCUACUCUGUGCUGAGACUAACAAAACUUCAGACCUUAUGCAAGGAAACUUAGAGUCAAGGACACACCAAGAACUUCCACACAAAUCUAUGCUUACAGAUCUUACUGCAGAAGCAAGGUUGGAGAUGGCAGUCAAAUCUAAGAAAACAAAGUUAGAUAGGUAUUUAGAGGAAUGGGAAAGAAGACUAAGGCACUUCCUGCACUGUGCAUUCUCUCACAAUCAUUUAACACUAUUGCACAACUGCAGAGUCGCAUCUGCAACCAGAACAAAAACAUUUAGCACUCUCAGCAUGUAUUUCAGUGCAAAAAGCAAUACAAAACCCAGUGCUAUCACCAGUUUAUAUAAUCUAAACACAGUUAAUAUUCCCACAGAGAAACAAAGUCCAAAGAAAUGAAUACAUCAUCUAAAAUCCUUGCGCUGACCCAUAGUCCCCAGCUUAGUGCUGAUCAUUGAAAUGCCUAGUAAAUACGUAGAGUUAACACAUCAGUGCUGAUGAGAGAGUUAAUAACUUCUUAAGUUACAGCGUCACACUGCCUCCAAACUCAGGCAGGCAUUGACAUUACCUGAUGUUUGGUAUUUUUCCCACAGCUCUUUACAGUAUAAAAGCAGGGUUUUGCUUUGAUUAGAUUCUUCCAGAGCACAGUUCCAUAUGAAUGGAUGCAUAUUUUAACUAAAGAUGACAUGGAGUCCCAUCUGCUUUGUUGUAUUUUUCUGUAAAUGCUGAUCCUGCUGAUCUGUUAAGGGACAAACACAAACAUCUUUCUUUACUAAAUGUAGUAACUAUGGAUUACGCCUUCCUAACUUGAUCAGUUAUAGCUCCAUUUCUCUCUUCCAACUGAAAAUUUCCAUAAAGAUGCAGAAAUACUCAGAUACAUAAUUUAAAGAGAAGUCUUAAGAACCAUUAGGUUUAUUUCCAGGCAAAGAUGGCUCCCAGUUGUUUUCCUUGCACAGUCAUCUUUCCCUAGUUAUCUUCAGCAUGCAUAAUAGACACUACUCCUUUCUUUUACUUGAUUCUAUAUGGAUGCACUGAAUCCUUAAAAUGCAUCCAGUCACAAUACAGUAGUUUUGGGGGAAGAAUUUGUCAGAAAAAAUGUCAUCUGUAUUUGCAGUGCUCUAUAAAUGAAGAUAUCACCAAUCCGAUACACUCUAGGUCAACUCUUCUUUUCUUUGGUGGUCACUUUUCAGCAACUGAAAUCACAAGGCAUAAAGUCAAUAGAUAUUUGAGCUAUUUAAAUAGCUCAAAGGAUAAAGGUCAUGCCUCUGAUGCAAUUUAUCUUUACAGGAAGCCACUCAAAUCUUGGAAACCACUACCUUGGAGAUAGCAGAUUCUGGGGGUUGUAUAGAUAAGAGAUCAAUUCUCAGUAAUUUAAAGUUCUCUUAAAUAGUCAGCCCAGACAGGAAGGAUUCCAGUUUAAUUAACUACAGGCUUAAACCUACAAAGGGGCAUUCUGCAUCUCUUGAGACCACUGCACACCUUUUGCAAAGGAAAGCUGGAGGCAUCUUCUGAGAAUAAACAUCAAGACCACUGCUGCUCUGUUUCAAACUUGCCCCCACAGUGCCCAGAUCUCUGCAGAGUGCAGCACCCACCAUUUUUGCUAUGACAGUCAGAAAGUUCUUGAUUCCUUAACAUGGGAACAUCAGCAUGUUGUUACUCCCAGACAUUUCUUUCUUCACUUUUCAAUGUUUUCUCUGUGCUAUCUGUCAUCACCUUGUUUUCUCAUUUUCCUUUUAAUUAAAGAUUAUUAUUCAAAGGAGGAAAUGUAGCACAAUUUGAGAAUUCAUUCAGCAUGUAUAGAGAUGCAUGUGGUCUACU